rnacentral:rRNA from 1 species
GACGAACGCUGGCGGCGUGCUUAACACAUGCAAGUCGAACGGAAAGGCCCUGCUUUUGUGGGGUGCUCGAGUGGCGAACGGGUGAGUAACACGUGAGUAACCUGCCCUUGACUUUGGGAUAACUUCAGGAAACUGGGGCUAAUACCGGAUAGGAGCUCCUGCUGCAUGGUGGGGGUUGGAAAGUUUCGGCGGUUGGGGAUGGACUCGCGGCUUAUCAGCUUGUUGGUGGGGUAGUGGCUUACCAAGGCUUUGACGGGUAGCCGGCCUGAGAGGGUGACCGGCCACAUUGGGACUGAGAUACGGGCCAGACUCCUACGGGAGGCAGCAGUGGGGAAUAUUGCACAAUGGGCGGAAGCCUGAUGCAGCAACGCCGCGGGCGGGAUGACGGCCUUCGGGUUGUAAACCGCUUUCGCCUGUGACGAAGCGUGAGUGACGGUAAUGGGUAAAGAAGCACCGGCUAACUACGUG